rnacentral:rRNA from 1 species
AGUAACUGCGAGCGAACGGGGAAGAGCUCAUAGCCGAAUCCGGCGCCGGGAGGCGUCUGAAAUGUGGCGUAUGGGAGGCGGCGCCUCUCCGAGUGCGACCGGCGGUGCAAGUCCCCAUGAGAGGGGCGUGCAACCCGGAGCGGGUGCUAGGCCCGUACCGCCGCUGGUUCGCGCGCGGAGUUGCCGUUCUCCCGGGAGUCGGGUUGCUUGGUAGUGCAGCCCAAAGUGGGUCGUAAACUCGACCUAAAGCUAAAUAUCGCCGGGAGACCGAUAGCAAACAAGUACCGUGAGGGAAAGUUGAAAAGCACUUUGAAGAGAGAGUUCAAGAGUACGUGAAACCGUUCAGAGGUAAACGGGUGGGGCCUCGAAGUCCGAAGCGGUGGCGGAUUCAGCCGGGGUCCGAGCGAGAUCGGUCCGGUACGCGUGCGGAUGCCUCCUCGAGGGAGGAACCCGCGAGGCGGACUUUCGGAUCCUGGCGCACUUCCGCGCCCCGCGAAGUAGGGCGUCGCGAUCGGCUGACGGACCGUCGCAAGGGCGAUGCGGAAGGUGGCUGCAUGCUAUUUAUAGCGAGCGGUGUUUACAGACGUGUCGUGCCCGGAGGGGUCGGUCGGCCGGUUUGUGUUCCGUGCCUCUUCCUUCCACGAGCGGGGGCGGUCUCCCUUUCGAUGCAACCUCGGCGCAGCGUGCCACCGCGACGGUGAGCGCCUCGUCGGCGGGGGUACUCGGAUGGGAGGGGCCGCCCGGGAGGGCGCGCAGAUCGGCGGCGAGUAGGUCGGUUACCCACCCGACCCGUCUUGAAACACGGACCAAGGAGUCUAACGCGCGUGCAAGUCCCCGGGACUUGGAUAGGCCCGUGGGCGUAGCGAAAGCGAGCGUCGGGAUCCGCCCUUCACGGGGCGGCGCACCGACCGCCUGCCCAGAGCCGGGCUCCGGCUGGGCGGAGCGAGAGCACGUGCUUUGGGACCCGAAAGAUGGUGAACUAUGCCUGGGCAGGACGAAGCCAGAGGAAACUCUGGUGGAGGUCCGUAGCGGUUCUGACGUGCAAAUCGAUCGUCUGACCUGGGUAUA